AACGAACGCUGGCGGCAUGCCUAACACAUGCAAGUCGAACGAGAUCUUCGGGUCUAGUGGCGCACGGGUGCGUAACGCGUGGGAAUCUGCCCUUUGGUUCGGGAUAACAGUUGGAAACGACUGCUAAUACCGGAUGAUGACGAAAGUCCAAAGAUUUAUCGCCAGAGGAUGAGCCCGCGUAGGAUUAGCUAGUUGGUGUGGUAAAGGCGCACCAAGGCGACGAUCCUUAGCUGGUCUGAGAGGAUGAUCAGCCACACUGGGACUGAGACACGGCCCAGACUCCUACGGGAGGCAGCAGUGGGGAAUAUUGGACAAUGGGCGAAAGCCUGAUCCGGCAAUGCCGCGUGAGUGAUGAAGGCCUUAGGGUUGUAAAGCUCUUUUACCCGGGAUGAUAAUGACAGUACCGGGAGAAUAAGCUCCGGCUAACUCCGUGCCAGCCGCCGCGGUAA
rnacentral:rRNA from 1 species